rnacentral:rRNA from 1 species
UACGUAGGGACCAAGCGUUGUUCGGAUUUACUGGACGUAAAGGGCGCGUAGGCGGCGUGACAAGUCACUUGUGAAAUCUCUGAGCUUAACUCAGAACGGCCAAGUGAAACUGUUGUGCUAGAGUGCAGAAGGGGCAAUCGGAAUUCUUGGUGUAGCGGUGAAAUGCGUAGAUAUCAAGAGGAACACCUGAGGUGAAGACGGGUUGCUGGGCUGACACUGACGCUGAGGCGCGAAAGCCAGGGGAGCAAACGGG